rnacentral:rRNA from 1 species
AUGGCCCAAAAUCCCUCAAGCUCUUCCAGAGAUCCAAAUGAUUGUAGCAUUUGGGACCUCAUCUGGAAGUCAAAUGCCCCUGGGAAGGUCCGUAUAUUUGGAUGGAGGGUGGCUACUAAUACGCUAGCUACAAAGAAAAACAAGUGGAGAAGAACACUUGAAGUGGAUGCCACCUGUAAUAUUUGCGGAAAUGGUAUCGAGGAUGAGCAUCAUGCGGUGGUAACGUGCACAAAGAGUAGAGCCCUGCGAGCAGCUAUGAGGGAUGUAUGGAAUUUACCAUCAGAGAGCAAGUUCUGGUAUACUGGUGAUGACUGGCUUCAAAAUCUGCUGGACAUGGAAAGCGAGGAAGGACGAACCAAAAUCCUGCUGAUCCUAUGGCGGAGCUGGCACCUGAGAGAAGACUGCCUUCGGAAUAACGGGAGGGAGUCGAUCGGCAGCUCAGUGCAGUUCUUGCAGAAUUACGAGGAGGAAUUAAGAGGUGCAGCGGGUUCCGAGGAGGGGCCUGGAAGCAAAGUCAAGGAAUAUGGGAGGGAAACCAGAGAGCAAAACACUGAAAUCGAUGCCAAUCAGUGGAAGCCACCAGGUCAAGGAACCGUCAAAAUCAAUACUGACGCUGCAUUCCUAGCGGGAACUGGAGAAAGCGCGGCCGGAGUGGUCGGACGGGACUCCCAAGGUCUUGUCCUCAUGUCCGUCUACAAAAAACUCCCCCGCUGCCAGAGUGCUGAGGAGGCCGAGGCACACGCCGCCCUUGUUGGAUUACAGGCAAUGGCUGGAGUGUAUAAGGGUCAGAUAAUCCUUGAAAUGGAUAAUCAAAACAUUGCAAAUGAACUGAUAUCCCAAGAACAGACAAGGUCACCUAAUUACGCUCUAAUCAUGGACAUAAGGAAUGCCAUGGCUGGUUUUGAGGCCUGCAAUGUCAGUUGCGUAAAGAGAUAG